rnacentral:tRNA from 2 species
GCCCUGGUGGUGUAGACCGGUCUAAUCCGGAGUAAUAAAUGACUCCGGAGGCCAAACAUGUAGGCCUGUCGAGCCUACGCCUCGGGUUCAAAUCCCGGCCAGGGCG